AGUGAACGCUGGCGGUAGGCCUAACACAUGCAAGUCGAACGGCAGCACAGUAAGAGCUUGCUCUUACGGGUGGCGAGUGGCGGACGGGUGAGGAAUACAUCGGAAUCUACUUUUUCGUGGGGGAUAACGUAGGGAAACUUACGCUAAUACCGCAUACGACCUACGGGUGAAAGCAGGGCAUCUUCGGACCUUGCGCGAUUGAAUGAGCCGAUGUCGGAUUAGCUAGUUGGCGGGGUAAAGGCCCACCAAGGCGACGAUCCGUAGCUGGUCUGAGAGGAUGAUCAGCCACACUGGAACUGAGACACGGUCCAGACUCCUACGGGAGGCAGCAGUGGGGAAUAUUGGACAAAGGGCGCAAGCCUGAUCCAGCCAUACCGCGUGGGUGAAGAAGGCCUUCGGGUUGUAAAGCCCUUUUGUUGGGAAAGAAAAGCAGCAGGUUAAUACCCCGCUGUUCUGACGGUACCCAAAGAAUAAGCACCGGCUAACUUCGUG
rnacentral:rRNA from 1 species